CUGAAGACCAGUUUCCAAGUACAAAGGGCUAGGACGGGAGUCCAGAAUUAAGGGACAAGUCACUAAAGCCACUUUCAAGAAGGAAUUUGAUACCACAGUGCAUUACUGGAGAGAGUGACAGGCUCCUAAAGGAUUUUGGAAACAUAUCAAAUGCCAAAGGUUGGCAAGUGGAAGGGGGAGGCAGCUGAAAUUCCCACACAUCUGGAGCAAACAGAUACCGCGCUCCAAUUUCCUGUCGGCGGCACUGGUUUCUGGCGGAAUUACUUGCUAAGUAAAUGAUUGUUCUAAGACUAGGAAGAUUCGGUCAAUCAUAUUAACCCCUUUUGUCCCUCGCCUCCCUCC
rnacentral:lncRNA from 1 species